rnacentral:rRNA from 1 species
ACGUAGGUGGCAAGCGUUGUCCGGAUUUACUGGGUGUAAAGGGCGCGUAGGCGGGAGUACAAGUCAGAUGUGAAAUCUGGGGGCUUAACCCUCAAACUGCAUUUGAAACUGUAUUUCUUGAGUAUCGGAGAGGCAGGCGGAAUUCCUAGUGUAGCGGUGAAAUGCGUAGAUAUUAGGAGGAACACCAGUGGCGAAGGCGGCCUGCUGGACGACAACUGACGCUGAUGCGCGAAAGCGUGGGGAGCAAACAG